rnacentral:rRNA from 1 species
CGGGGUGGUCAAUUGGUUGUUAUAUCUCCACUAAUAAGCAGAGAGGGGGUAAAAACUCUCAAAGUAAGUUAUGUGGGUCAAGGUAUGGUGAUUAAUUGGAGUUCUAGUUCAUUUACUUUGAGAAAAUUAGAGUGUUUAAAGCAGCCUCUUGGGGCACUGAAUACAUUAGCAUGGGAUAAUAAAAUAGGAUCUUCACAAUAUAUUUUAUUGGUUUAAAUUGGAUAUGAAGAUAAUGAUUAAUAGGGACAGUUGGGGGUAUUCAUAUUGGGUGGUUAGCGGUGAAAUGCUCGGAUCCAUUCAAGAUGAACUAAAGCGAAGGCAUUUACCAAGGAUGUUUUCAUUAAUCAAGAACGAAAGUUAAGGGGAUCGAAGACGAUUAGAUACCGUCGUAGUCUUAACUAUAAACUAUGCCGACCAGG